rnacentral:rRNA from 1 species
UGGGGAAUUUUGGACAAUGGGCGAAAGCCUGAUCCAGCAAUGCCGCGUGUGUGAAGAAGGCCUUCGGGUUGUAAAGCACUUUUGUCCGGAAAGAAAUCCUUGGCUCUAAUACAGUCGGGGGAUGACGGUACCGGAAGAAUAAGCACCGGCUAACUACGUGCCAGCAGCCGCGGUAAUACGUAGGGUGCAAGCGUUAAUCGGAAUUACUGGGCGUAAAGCGUGCGCAGGCGGUUUGCUAAGACCGAUGUGAAAUCCCCGGGCUCAACCUGGGAACUGCAUUGGUGACUGGCAGGCUAGAGUAUGGCAGAGGGGGGUAGAAUUCCACGUGUAGCAGUGAAAUGCGUAGAGAUGUGGAGGAAUACCGAUGGCGAAGGCAGCCCCCUGGGGCCAAAUACUGACGCUCAUGCACGAAAAGCGUGGGGAGCAAAACAGGAUUAGAUACCCUGGUAGUCCACGCCCUAAAACGAUGUCAACUAGUUGUUGGGGAUUCAUUUCCUUAGUAACGUAGCUAACGCGUGAAGUUGACCGCCUGGGGAGUACGGUCGCAAGAUUAAAACUCAAAUGAAUUGACGGGGUCAUAGCUGUUUCCU